GUCAAGGUUAGAAAGAAAAAAAGAACAGGAUGGUCACGGUUGGAAUGCUUUAGAUUAAAAAUUUAACCGAUUAGGGCUGAUCUGGGGGUUAAACAAUAACAAAAAAAAAUCUAUGAUCGUCAGCAAACGCUUCCCCCACCACUACAAAAACACCCACCUCCACAUCUAUCGGUAACAUCAUUUCCGCCUUCAUCACCCAUAUCGCCGUUAGCACCAGCUUCGUCGUUGCCAUCACAACAACCGUCAUCGCAACCACCAUUACAACCACUACUACUAAUACUACUACUACCAGUAGGUGGUCAAUGUAUGAGAGAGAGAGAGAGAGAGAGAGCGAGAGAGAGAGAGUAUUUGUGUUUGUGUGUUGGUUUAAUUCAGCUCAGCAGCGACUACAACAGCUGGCUCUGUGUGCUUAUUUAUCACUAUAACAGCCAGCAUCAGUGAACUCCUCCACACCAAGGUGUGUGUGUGUGUGCAUGUGUGUGCGCGCGCGUGCACCAGUGACAACUUCUCACAGUUAAGGUAGGACUUCUUUGAUUUAUCUCCUAACAAGACAACUAACCAAAAGUCGUUUAAAAACAGGCCAAAACAAGACAUGGCAGAAAUAACAGCAGAGUAUUUCAGUUUAAAUUCACACAGUCUAACAUCGACCCUCCAAGUUCAGGUUUCACGGGUGUUGAUUUUUGCUUAUCAGCUAUGAAGGGGUCAUAAAAAAAAAGUAUCAAUUAAUUCGAUAUGCUAUAUAUUUCUUUACUACCCACGAGGGGUUAAACACAGAGGGGACAAACAAGGACAGACAAACGGAUUAAGUCGAUUACAUCGACCCCAGUGCAUUACUGGUACUUAAUUUAUCAACCCCGAAAGGAUGAAAGGCAAAGUCGACCUCGGCGGAAUUUAUAAUUCAAUAUGCUAUAAUCACUGUGGGUAGCUAACAGGCAGAGAACUGGACAGAGUGCUUGAUGUCAGUGGUUCUCACCUGGGGUCCAUAUCGGAAGGGGAAAGUCUGGGGAUCUACAGUAGUAUGUCAAGGGUCCUACUCUUUUACUUGUUUCAGUCAUUUGACUGUGGCCAUGCUGGAGCACCGCCUUUAGUCGAGCAAAUCUACCCCAGGACUUAUUCUUUGUAAGCCUAGUACUUAUUCUAUCGGACUCUUUUUGCCGAACCGCUAAGUCACGGGAAUGUAAACACACCAGCGAUGUUGGGGAGACAAACACAGACACACAAACAUAUAUAUAUAUACAUAUAUACAACAGGCUUCUUUCUAUCAAAUCCACUCACAAGGCUUUGGUCGGCCUGAGGCUAUAUAGUAGAAGACACUUGCCCAAGGUGCCACGCAGUGGGACUGAACCUGGAACUAUGUGGUUGGUAAGCAAGCUACUUACCACACAGCCACUCCUGCGCCUAUGGAAAAACUUUGCAAAAAACAGCUAGGUUUCUUUCUGUAACUGAACCAUGUUCCCUCAGGGAGUCUACACAAGUGAAUAUGACAAAACAAAAUAGGGAUUUUGAAAGAAGUCUUUUUAAAACUAAGUUUUUAAACAUUGAAUGGCUGGUAAUCAAACUAGUAAUCAAAGGGGUCCACAGGUAAAAAUUGGUUGAUAAGCAUUACCUAUGGUUAUUCUUUGUCUCUGAACUCAAUGUUGCUGAUAUUAAAUUCAUCUUUUGGUCUUGAUAAACCAGCAGUGGCAUUGAUUUUUCCCUCACCAGAACAAAUUAGUUGUGACCAAACCUGAAAAGGGAUGGGCUUUGGCAAUUCAAAGGGUCCAACACACGCCACAUGUAUAUAAAUAGAUGGGGAGGCCCAAGGAAGGAAGGAGCCAUUUUGGAUGGCGCUGAGCCAGUAUAUGGAACCAUUUGACAUAUAAACAAGAGUCAAUCUUAGUGUCCACAUCACCAAUAGCAGCCAAAUCUCACUGAAAUCAUAUCCUACCUUCUAAAACAGGAAGGACAUAUAUUUGAUAAUGUAGUCCAAAAUAUGCUUAGUAGUCUGAACAAUAACAUGAAAGUAUCAUGAGAGGAAUGUCACUGAACAGACAUGGGUCUAAACAACACUAAACUACACUAGUACCAACAACAAUCAACUAUGUAGUAGACACAUGUACCCUUCUUUUUUAACCCUUUUAAUACCAACUAGCCUGGGGAAACCCCGCUGAGCUCUAUGAUACAAAUUUUUCAUUCUUAAAGUGAUGAACAUUAAAAACCUUCCAUUUAAAAUUCCAUGUUCCAAACACUAGCUUAAUAACGACAAAGUUAUUUUACUAAAUUCUUUCUUAUUCCAAAAUUUUUUGAAACCAAGGCAAUGUAAUUUCAACAGAAAUAUGGUAACAAAAGGGUUAAAAGAACUGGGAGAGGUGGCGCAGGGUGGGUGGUAGUAGUGUGUUUUGGUUAGCAGCAACAAAUAGGUGGGGGUUUUUUUUCAUGAAGUUAGAAUAAAGAACUGGAGGAAUUUGAAGAAAUCAUCAGCAGUAUGAUGUAGUUUCACUUUCAAAAGUAGAUACAAUAUUGACUGACAAUAUUGUCUCUUGAAGAAUAAUGUUCAAAAUAUUUUACCAAAAGGCACACACACACACACGACAUGAGUGUACACACCUAAAUACACAUAUAUAUCCAUACACACACACACUGAGAAAUGAGCAAAAAAGUUGUAUUUAUGGAAUAUAUAUAUGUAUAUAUAUAUAUAUAUAUAUUUAUGUAGACAUAUCUAUACAUAUAUUCACAUAUAUAAAUACAUAUAUGCAUAUACACAUAAAUAUGCACACACACACACACACAUACACACACUCACACAUACACACACUCACACGCACAAAAAAAAAGAAGUGAAAUGAAAAGAAAAGAAAAAAAAAAGCUUUUGUAAAUAACAAUGAGCAUUGGCUAUGAACAGAGCCAGAAUGUAAAAAUACAAUGAAGAGUUGAAGAAUAGAUAAAUAAAUAUAUAUCACAAUAGCUAACAAUUAAUAUAAAAAAACAGGAGUGCAUGUGUAUAUAUGUAUGCACGUAUAUAUACACACACGCAUGCACACAUACUCUGUAUUUGUUUAUAUUUAUAUAGAGGUAUGCAUAUAUAUAUAUUUAUUUUGUUUGUGCAUGCACAUAUAUAUAUAUAUAUAUAUAUAUAUAUAUAUUUAUAUGUAUGUAUGUAUAUACACUCAUAUUUUUGUUUUAUAUUUAUAUUUGUGUGUGUAUGUGUGUACAUACAUACAUACACAUGCAUAUAUUGCUUAUACGUAUAAAUAUAUAUACAUUCAUCUACAAAUGCAUUUAAAUGUGUAGAUAUAAAUAUACACACACACACACACACAUAUAUAUAUAUAUAUACACACAUACAAACAUCUAUAAAUAGAUAUAAAUAUAUGUGUAUAUAUGUCUGUGUGUGUAUAUAUAUACAUAUAUAUACAUAUAUAUAUAUAUAUAUAUAUGUAUAUAUAUGUAUAUAUACACACAUAUUUAUACACACACACAUGCAAACAUCUAUAAAUAGAUAUAAAUAUAUGUGUAUAUAUGUCUGUGUGUGUAUAUAUAUACAUAUACAUAUAUAUAUAUAAAUAUAUACACACACAUAUUUAUACACACACACAUGCAAACAUCUAUAAAUAGACAUAAAUAUAUGAGUCUUUGUGUAUAUAUAUAUAUAUAUAUAUAUAUAUAUAUAACUUAAAUCUCAGUUCUUAUAAGUAUGCGCAUGUGAAAGAAGAAUACAGCGAAAAAACAACUGGCAGAUAUAUAAUACUAACGGGAGGUUAAAAAAAAACGUGAAAAGCCAUGGAAUCUUAGAAUAAAGGUAAAUAAGUUGAAAAAGAAGAAAUUGGAAAAAAAAGAUGGAGGUAAGGAAAGAAAAAAAUGAAGACAGAAGACAGAAAGAAAGAAGGGAAAAAACGUGAUUGCUAAAAGUCAGAAAGAGCAUUUGAAAGUGGAAAAAAAAAACAAAAAAAAAACGGUAGACAAGUGAAUAAACAUAUAAAUAUAUAUAUAUUUGUAUAUAUGAAUGAGUAAAUAUACAACUGUAAAAAUAUUGUGUGGAAGCAGAGAGUGAGUGUGAAAUUGGAGAGUUGAGGAAGAAUAUCUGUAGUGUGUGUUGGAGAAGAGAUGAUGUAAGGAAUGAGUAUAGAAACGAGGGAAAUUGUAUUUGUGGCAAUAAGAAUGAAUUUGUUUUAAGUGUUAAAAUGUGUUGAAAAGGCGGGGGGGGAAAAUAAGGAAGAGAGUUAGAGAAGGAAAGUGUGACUUGUGUAUUGAGGAGGGUAAGAGUUACAAUGCUGCUGCUGGUGGUGGUGGUGGUGCUGGGGGAACUGGUGUGUUGUAGAAUCUUUUAUCCACUGCGACUUGUUUCAGUCGCUAGACUGCGGCCAUGCUGGGGCACCACCAAAAAGGGGAUUUAUAGUCAAUUGAAUCAAUCCUGGCAUUUUUUUUCUUUUUCUUUUUUUUUUUUGUUUUGAAGCCUGAUACUUAUUCUAUCGAUCUCUUUUGCUGAAUGGCUAAGUUAUGGGGAUGUUAACACACCAACACUUACUGUGAAGCAUUAUUGGGGGAAACAAACAUACACAGACAAAAUAGAUAUAUAUAUAUAUAUAUAUAUAUAUGUUAUAUGUGUGUAUUUAUGAUGGGCUUCUUUCAGUUUCUGUCUUCCAAAUCCACUCACAAGACAUGCAUCGGCUCAAGGCUAUUGUAAAAGACACUUGCCAAAGGUGCCCUGCAGUGGGACUGAACCUAGAACCAUGUGGUUUGGAAGCAAGCUUCUUACCACACAGCCACAGCUGCAUCUAGAAAGGGGAGAUAUUUUUCUUACUUUUUUUUUUAAUUGCUGUGCUGAGAGGAAAGAACAGGGGCUGUACCAGUACCCUUCACAUGCUCACAGAGACAGGGUGUAGUAUGGAAUCAGGGAAGAGAAUGCUUCGAAGGGCAAGAGUGAAGAAGAAACUUGUGUGUAGAGAAAGACUACAAUAUGUAGAGGUAAAAAUUCUUGGGGAAGACCAAAAUAUGUAGAGAUAAGACGAGCUGAAAGACACUGAGAUAUAUUGACAUAAGGUACAAGGCCCGAAAUUUGCGGGGAGGAGGGUAAGUCAAUUAAAUUGACCCCAGUGAUUGACUUGUACUUAAUUCAUGGACCCCAAAAGGAUGAACGGCAAAGUCGACUGUAGCGGAAUUUGAACUCGGAAUGUAGGGACAGUUUGAAAUUGUGCUAAUAGUUCUGCCAGUUCGCUGCCUUGACUAAAUAAUCCUUUCUACAAUAGGCAGAAGGCCUGAAAUUUGGGGGAAGGGGUUAGAUGAUUAGAUCGACCCCCAGCGCUCCACUGGUACUUAUUUCAUUAACUCUGAAAGAAUGAAAGGCAAAGUCAACCUCAGCCUUGACUAAAUAAUAAGAGAUGAGUUGUGCCCAGGGAAAGGGAGAGACAAAGAGGAUGGGAAGAAACAAGGUGUGCCAAGGGAAAGAGAGACAGUAAGGUGCACAGACAAGAUGUUUGUAGGGGCUACAAUAUGUAGGUGUAAUACAUUUGUACAGAGUCUACUUUGUAUAGAAUGGUUAGGUCUUCAGUUUGAGGAUAUCUUUGUCCCUCCUUCCCAUCAGUCUCAGAGGCCCCUAAGAAGAUUCAAGGGCAUCGGGUGGUCCGCCCUGACAAAUUAAAAAAAGGAUUAAUUGAAGAGAUGGUGGUGUAGGUGCAUGUAUAGGGAAGGAACAGGGUGUUGUGGUGGCAAAGAUAACUGUGUUGAGGGGUAUUUUAUAGUCAAGAAGUAAGGACGAGGGCAGUGCAGGAGAGGUAGCAAUGCAGGGAUUGGGUCAGGAAGAGAGCUAUGUAAACAAGGAUUGCAGUGUAUGGGGUAAAGAAGAAAGCGGUACAGGGUUUGGGUUGGGGUCUGCAGUGUAGAAGGUAAAAAAAGAGAACUGUGUAGAUGGGGGAUUGCCGUGUAGUAAGGAAAGCGAGCUGUGUGGGGAGUGACUGCAGACUCGAAGGUUAAGAAAGAAGGGUUCUUUAGUGAGGAAGUAGCCGGUAGAAGGAAGUGUACGGAGGCAAAGUUAAUGAAGGAAGCGUGUAAAAAGGGGAAGAAGAAGAAAUAGAAGUGGAGUGCAUGAUCAUGUUUGAAAUAGGGGGAGAGGGUGUGUCAGCAAAGUGGUAGAGCAAAAGGGGAGAAUAAAUACGUGUGGGUGUGAAUGUGUGAUAAUAUAAUAUUUAGAAGGGGGGGGGGAACAAGGUAUGAAAAACAAAAUUUGAUGGGUGGGGUGGGGGGAUUGUGUAUGUGUAUAGGGUGGGGAAGAGAGAUGAGUGACUGCACUCAUCUGUGUGUGCAAACACAAUUUAUACAUAUUUAUAAUGCGCGGCGAGCGCGCGUGUGUGUGUAUGUAUGUAUGUAUAUACUUAAAUGCUGGAAAGUACGUAUAUUGUUUUUAUUGAGAGGGUUUCUCUGCUGUGGAAAAUUGUGUGCGUGUGGACAUGCACUGCUGUAAAGGGAGAAGCGUAUGUACAAAUAGACGGUAGUGUGUGUUUAUUUGAAGAGAGGUUGUAUGUGUGUGUGUGCGUGUUUGUUAUUAAAGGGUUGUGAGUGAAGUAGGGAGGUGUGUAUGUAUGCGUGUUGAACAUAAAAAGUGGAUAUACUUCGUGAAUGUGUGCGGGGAGCGGGGGGGGGGAAGAGAGUCGCUAGUGUGCAUGAAUGAACAUGCGGCUGAGAAGUGUGUGUGUGUGUGUAUGAGAGACAGAAAGGAUGUGUGUGUGCAUGCGUGCGUGUGUGUAUGUGUAUAUGAAAGACAGAGAGGAUGUGUGUGUGCAUGCGUGCGUGUAUGUGUAUGUACAUGCGUGUGUGUGUAAACGCUUGGAAGGAGCCAUAUACGUUAUGAAAGUGAAAGUAUAGAUGUUGUAAGCACAAGAGAAAGGAAUGAAGAUGUGAGUGAGAGAGAGAGAAAGAAAGAGAGAGAGGAGGAGGAGAAGGAGAAGGACUGGAAGUGUACGUAUCCAACCGCACCCCGGUUUUUUUUUUUUUUUUUUUGCUUUUUUCUAUCAUUCUUUUUUUUCUUCUUUUUUUUUUCACAGAGUAUGUUCCUUCAGUUAGUUCCUAAUCGUACGAUAUGUGUGUAUGUAGGAGCAUUUUUUAGUGAAAGAAUUGUGUGUGGGGGGGGAAAUUAUAAUCAACGUAGAUAGAUACAAGACUUUAAAAACUAACAGUGUGUUGUUUAUAGACAUGCAUGACAGACACAAGAAGGGAGAGAAAGAGAAAAAAAAUACGGGUCGUCACAAGAAAUAAAUAAGACAGGUUAUACGACAGGUAUUACAACAUUUUUUUUUUUUUUUUUUUUUUAAUGUUUAUGUGUUGUUGUAAAUGCUUGUAUUUUAAUCUGUGCAACUGGCAAUAAAACCUGGGCAAAUACGGUUACACCAAGACAGCAGACACUAGCUAAACAUAAGCAUCCACAAUUACAUAUAUAUAUAUAUAUAUAUAUAUACAUACAUACAAACACAUAUACACGUACAUAUAAACACAAGCAUAUUUUCAUACAUAUUCUUAACUAUACACAUACAAACACGAUACACAACAAAUAUCUCGCAUAUAUAUAUAUAUAUAUAUAUAUAUAUAAUAUAUAUAUAUAUAUAUAUAUAUAUAUAUAUAUAUAUAUAUAUAUAUAUAUAUAUAUAGGUAUAUAUAUAUAUAUAUAUAUAUAUAUAUAUAUAUAUAGGUAUAUAUAUAUAUAUAUAUAUAUAUAUAUAUAGGUAUAUAUAUAUAUAUAGGAUAUAUAUAUAUAUAUAUAUAAGGUAUAUAUAUAUAUAGGUAUAUAUAUAUAUAGGAUAUAUAUAGGUAUAUAUAUGGUUGCAUAUAAUCGACACAUAGACACACAUGCAGACUGAUAUUACAUAUACAUACAUAAAUGCGUGCACGUAUCAUUAUCAAAUAUUUAUACAGGUACAAAUAUGCACAUACACAUAUAAUCAAAGACACAUACGCACACAAACACAUAUAUAAACAUACAUACAUACAGCAACAUAUAUAUAUAUAUAUACAUAUAUACGUAAACAUACAUACUAAGACAUAUAUACAGCUGGUGCCAAGUGGAUAAAAUCUCCGUCGUCCAGGAAUCAGACGCAAAAAUAAGUAAGUAUAUACUAUGAGGAUGUUUAUAAUAGUUAGAUGAGAAGGUACCUUCUAUGUACCUGCAACUUCUCUACAGUAACAAACACGAGUUAGGAAGAUUUUGGGAUUAUCGGCCAACUAAAAACUAUACAUCAAAAUGCCUGGGAAAACUCAAGACAGGACAUGCAAACCAACAAUCUAAUAGUAACAUCUCUUCCACGUGCACCAAAAAAAAAAACCCCAUUUAUGAGAGAGAGAGAGAGAAUGGGGGGGGAGACGGAGUACUGUGUGUUUGCGUGUUUCGUUGCGUGUAUGUGGUGGCGGUGGUGGGUCAUUUAUUGCAAGCGAAAAAUAAAACCGCAAAAUGUUACUCCGAGCUUCACAUUAUUAUCCGAUCCGGCGAAAAUCGGGAUGUGAAGCAAUUUGAGAAAGUUUUCGGCUUGCAAUAAAAUCUGAUACACUAUAUAUUACACUCUAUUUUAGUAUUGAGUACUGUUUUGUUUUUUUUAUACUACUCAUACGCAUUUAUAUGUUUGACACAUACGUGUGUAUACAUAUAUAUACAUACAUACAUACAUACAUACAUAUAUAUAUAUAUAUAUAUAAGUUAAGCUUCGUGCAAUGGCCAUAAUCGAUAACGAGGGGGUAGCCAUAUAUAUAUAGAGAUAGAUAGAUAGAUAGAUAUGGAUAUAUAUAGAUAUAUAUAUAUAUAUGCAAUAUAUAUGUGAGUGCACACGGGUGUAUUUCUAUGUAUAUAUGCACACAAUACUACAAGCAUACAAACAUACUUCUAUGUGAAUUUACAUAAAGAGUAGAUAUUUCAACACAUAAAAACACACACAAACACACAAUAAAAAUGAAGGUUAUCUGAGGUGUUUUUGCUAGUUGAAAAUCAUUACCCUUAACCACCUGAUAUGGCUGGCCUUGUGCCAAAAUUUGAAAUAAUUAUUAAUAUUAAUAUUAUCAUUAUUAUUAUUAUUAUUAUUGAAAGUGACUUGGAUGUUCUGCUAAAGGCUGGCUUUCCGAGCCCUCUCAAAGUUGGAAAAUCUAGCCCUUCCUUUGUGAAAACUGAAAGUAAAUUUUUUUUCGAAAUGAAUAUCCUACUCCACAAUUUUACAACAAUUCUUGUAUUUACAUCUAGUGUUUGCAUCCUUUUUAAAAUUAAGACAUACACACACCACACCACACCAAACCAUACCACACAUACAUACAUGAAUAUGAAAACAAAGACAUCACUGGAUGCAAUACUAUAUACAGAUAUAUAUAUAUAUAUACACACACACACACAUACAUACAUACAUACGGACACACACACGCACAGACACAUAGAAACAUAUGUAGACAGGUGCACGCACCUAUGUCGCCCAUACAUCUUUUCAGCAUAUCUUGAAUCUGUGUCUUUAGAGUCUCUUCUGGCAAAAAUCCUUUCUCUUUUUUUAACCCCUUUCUGAUCAGUGGCCUUCAUGGCCUUGUUUCGAUGAUUUCUAAUGGAAAAAAACAAAGGGAAACAAAAAGAAAACCAUUGGCAGUUGCAAAAUUAUUGUUUUCUUUUCGUAUAUGGUUAUAUAUUAAAUUAAGUAUAUAUAUAUAUAUGUGUAUAUGUAUAUAUAUAUAUAUAUGUGUAUAUAUAUAUAUAUAUAUAUAUAUAUAUAUAUAUAUAUAUAUAUAUGGAUAAAGAUAUAUAAAUAAUAUUCAUAUAUAUAUAUGGAUAAAUAGAUAUAUAGAUAAUAUUAUGUUCAUAUAUUAUAUACACACACACACAUAUAAAUAUAAUAUUCGUAUAUAUAUAUCUGUAUAUUAUGCUUAUAUAUAUUACACAUAUAUAUAUUUGUAAUAUAUAUAUGUCCAUAUAUAUAUAUAUAUAUAUUCAUAUGAUCAUGUAUAUUUAUAUGCAUAUAAUGAGCAUAUAUGUAUAUGUACUUAUAUAUAUAUGACAUGUGUACAUACAUACAUAUAUAUGUAUAUGUUUGUGUGUGUCUGCAUGUGCAAAUGUUAUUACAUAAAACAUGUUUAUCAGCAUCAUCAUCAUUAUUAUUAUUAUCAUUAUUAUUAUUAUUAUUAUUAUCAUUAUUACUAUAAACAUAUAUGUGUGUGCAUUUACCUAUCAUCUCAUAACAAGAAUACAAUUUUUCUUCUCUUUUUUACUGUAGGGGUUUGAUCAAGAUAUGGAUAUGUGAUUGCCAAGAAAGCAGCAUUCUUAUAAAGUGGUCUUUCAACAAUGUCAUUGGAAUGAGGCAAAAUAUUUUAAUCUUAUACAACAUAUAUAUAGUAACUGGUCAGCCUGUCACAUGAUUUACCUAAUAACAUUAACAUACAAUAAAUGUGAGUACCUGAACGUCUG
rnacentral:lncRNA from 1 species